AGAGUUUGAUCCUGGCUCAGGACAAACGCUGGCGGCGUGCUUAAUACAUGCAAGUCGAACGGUCUUACUUCGGUAAGAUAGUGGCGGACGGGUGAGUAACACGUAGAUGACCUGCCCUAUAGAGAGGAAUAACAGCCUGAAAGGGUUGCUAAUACCUCAUAAUCUCUCUGUUGUGGGAUAGAGAGGAAACGUACUUCGGUGCGGCUAUUGGAGGGGUCUGCGGCGGAUUAGCUAGAUGGUGGGGUAACGGCCUACCAUGGCUACGAUCCGUAGCUGGUCUGAGAGGACGGCCAGCCACACUGGGACUGAGACACGGCCCAGACUCCUACGGGAGGCAGCAGUGGGGAAUUUUCCGCAAUGGGCGAAAGCCUGACGGAGCAAUACCGCGUGAGGGAAGAAGGCUCUUGGGUCGUAAACCUCUUUUAUCAGGGAAGAAAAAAAUGACGGUACCUGAAGAAUCAGCCUCGGCUAACUCCGUGCCAGCAGCCGCGGUAAUACGGAGGAUGCAAGCGUUAUCCGGAAUGAUUGGGCGUAAAGCGUCCGCAGGUGGCAAUGUAAGUCUGCUGUCAAAGCGUCUGGCUCAACCAGAUAAAGGCAGUGGAAACUACAUAGCUAGAGUAAGGUAGGGGUAGAGGGAAUUCCUGGUGUAGCGGUGAAAUGCGUAGAGAUCAGGAAGAACACCGGUGGCGAAAGCGCUCUGCUGGACCUUAACUGACGCUGAGGCGCGAUAGCGUGGGGAGCAAACGGGAUUAGAUACCCCCGUAGUCC
rnacentral:rRNA from 1 species